AGACAAGCUAUCCGCAAGACCAAGACAAGCUAGCCGCAAGACCAAGACAAGCUAGCCGCAAGACCAAGACAAGCAAGACAAGCAAGCCGCAUGACGAGCAAGCCGUAAGACCAUGUUAGGAGGAGCUAUAGCCUAUAAGGUGACCCAUAAAUGAAUCAUCCAACAUCAACGUCAGUAACCUCAAGCACAGUGCAUCAAGGGACUAAGUUCCCCUUUGGUGGUGUUUGGAAGUUUGCGUUUCUCUCGAGUGAAAGCGACCGCGUCGACGAAGCGUGGCAGAACGAGGCAGGACCACAGGGCUCCCGCGCUAUGACCUUAUAUACCGUUUUUCUGUACCUAUGGGGCUCUAAUGGGGCUCCGCUAUGAUGCUAGAUGGUACUAGGGUGCGGAGAUCGGCGAGUACCGAGCGGGUUCAAUGGCCUAAGUGUGAACGUCUGCUUCAUCCCAACUAGUGCUCACAAGAGGACACAACACACGGAAAAACCACCCGCCUCCAUCACAACCCAGCCCCGUUUGCGUGGUACCACUGCUGUAGACGGCAGGAAUAAAUGCUUUCCAACGUAUCAUCGUGCAGUUGGAAAGCGUUUUCGUUACGGUUCUGAGCAUGUGUUAUCACAUUCCGUGAUCUUUUGUUUUGAUAAUAACAACUAUUGUUUUAUGUUUGUAAAAUAACGUAACUACGUUAGCACUACAGAUCGUAUAAGUACGAGAGAGAUUAAUUUUUUCGUGUUUUGAAAAUAAACGAAAAAAAAAAUAUUCUCUCGACGGUAUGUAUUAUCAAGGGAUUUAGAUUAGGUAUUUAAGUAGGUUUUUGUGUUUUUUUUCAUUCUCUUGAUGUUCGCUCUCGAACCACUGUUACUUUUUUUUAUAAUUUUUAGAUUGGCCUAUUUAGCGGAUAAGGUAUUUUUUCUGUUUCUAUUGUUAGUAACGUUUCGUUGAUUUUGUUUUGUUUUGUAUUUUCAGGUUGUUGAUCUUCGCGCGCGCUUUGUCAUUCGUUAGUUCGUUAUUUUUAUAAUCAUUCCGUUUUGUAGAGAAUUCUGAUAUCUAUGCCUCGGAUGGGCUAGUAAAGGUUAUGCGCCGGAUGCGCAGUUUGCCCCAGAUGCGGGCUUAGGGAUAUUCGGGAUAUUAGGGAUAUUGCCGGAUGCGAACUUUUCCCCAGAUGCGGGCUUAGGGAUAUUCGCCGGAUGCGCAGUUUGCCCCAGACGCGGGCUUAGGGAUAUUCGCCGGAUGCGCAGUUUGCCCCAGAUGCGGGCCUAAUGAUAUGCGCCGGAUGCGCAGUUUGUCCCAGAUGCGGGCUAAGGAUAUGCGCAGGAUGCGCAGUUUGUCCGAGAUGAGGGCUAAGGAUAUGCGCCGGAUGCGCGGUUUGCCCUGGAUGGGCUUUAGCAGUAAGGCAAUCUUGCUUAUUCUAUCUAUUCUGGGUUUAUGUUUGUUUGCUUUUUCUAUUUUUCCUUUCACAUGUUUUUUUUUUCAGAUGCUAUGGUCCGACUUCAAGUCCGCCAUGCCCUGUCAUCUUCUCCACGCAGUAGAUAAAGAACAACAGACUGUUUUACGUUCAAAAUUUGAUGGAACGUGAAGACCUAUUUAGGAGGUUUCAAUCCUUGGAAGCGCUGGGCGACUAACAAUCAUUUAAGUCAUUUUCCUGUUAACCCAUUCUUUGUUGCAGUUUAUUUUCAGUGCUUAUUGGAAUCAGCACAAAGCCCUUCGCCCAUCUUGAAUGCGGUUUAUUCUAUUAACUAUUCGCACUCCUUAGGGGGGCUACCAAAGAUCUCGGAUCAUAGUUAAGGCGAUGCUUGAUGCUUCCAAAAGAAUGCUGGGAAAGCCUAGAAACAAAAAAAGAACCAAAACUGCAGAGAUGCUGUUGGCGUUGGUCUCAAAGUUUGGGAAAAAUCCUUCUCUGAGUGACUGCAGAUCUCUAGCCUUGUGUUUAAUUGGUUAUGCGGGUUUUCUGCGGUUCAGUGAAAUUUGUAGUAUUAGAUGUUGUGAUGUUAAAUUGUUCCCCUCGUAUGCGUUUAUCUUUAUAGAGUCUUCUAAGACUGAUCAACUACGCGAGGGAGCCUGGGUGACAAUUUCUCUGGUGCAGCUGCCCUGGAGAAAUACAUAGCAUUCGCUGACUUAAAACUGGACGAUGAUCUGCCUUUAUUCCGUGUUUUAGCUGGACCAUCAUGCUCUCCCAAGGUGCGCUCUCAAGGAGGCGUUCACUGGGAUUACAGACGUGUCGAAGAUUAGUCGCCACAGCCUUAGGUCGAAGAUUAGUCGCCACAUCCUUAGGUCGAAGAUUAGUCUCCACAGCCUUAGGUCGAAGAUUAGUCUCCACAGCCUUAGGUCGAAGAUUAGUCUCCACAGCCUUAGGUCGAAGAUUAGUCUCUACAGCCUUAGAUCUUAGCUACAGCCGCAGCCAAUAACGGGAUUCCCGAUAGACUGUUUAAACGUAAUGGCCAAUGGUCGAGUGAAAAUGCUAAAGACGGCUAUGAUAAAGACAAUCUAGACUCACUUUUAUCUGUUUCCAGAAACUUAGGAAUUUAAUUUGCCUUGCCCAGCUGGCAAAAGAGGUGCGGUCCUUAGGGCUGGGGUUUUCCCCGUGUUUUCAAUGUGUAUAAGUGCUGCGGAGCACAUAGGGGUUUUUCACCCUUUGGAAAUUCCGCACGCCCUCUUUUCAGAAAUUAUCUCAAUAUGAGUUAUUAAUUAUUAUAUCUAAUUAUCUAGAUAUUAUCUAUCUGUAAACACUCACGCACCCAGUAUGUUUGUAAAUACAACUAAUAAAUUCGUGCGGUUCUCAGCCGAGCACACGACAAAUAAUAAAAUGUUCAUGAAAAGAA